ACUACACUUGGAAUCCCAUGCACAACUCUGGGUCACCCCACCACAAAAAGCAUAUUGCAGAGCUGGAAAAGAUGCAAAGUUGAAAAAGCUCCAUGAGAUUUGCCAGACAUGCUGCAUCAAAUGAUCCAAAGUCCAUCCCCUGGUCAGGAAGAAGGAAACUGAGAUCCGUGUAAUCUAUGAGAGGCCCGAUGACCAGGAAUGGACACAACUGCCUCUGACAGUUUAGAUGAGGAAAUCUGUUCUGCUUAGGGGGAAUUAUGAGUUUGUCCCUACCAAAAUAUUAUACCCACAGCCACAAAGGAGACAUCGAAGGAAACGAUCCCCAAAAGCUUUGCAGCAGCAUCCUAAACCCUGGCAAGAAGAUGACCUCAUGAUAGAAGAUCUAUAGUUCUCUGAAGAGAUUCUGAUGGUUGCAAUUCCCCACUGCGUAAAAGGCAAAAUUCAAAUUAAGAGUGGCAAAGGGGAUGGGCUCUUCCUUGGAUUUUUACGCAGCAUGGUCUAGCUUUCUACCAUAUACUAGCCAGUCCCAGUUGGACUUUGAGGCCUUUCUGAGACUUUGGAACUGGGACUGAGAAGGAAACCACAUAUUCCAUCUGGCUGAAUUUGAAUGGCAGUACGCAGGAGCUCCAGAGCCAGCAGUGAACUUGACUUUACAAUUGGGACUGUGACUAUGGACACCAGAUAGCAGAGACUGAAUUCAUAGCGGAUGCCUUUGCUUGAAGAUGUUCACAUGCAGCAUUGUGCUUGGGGGGAGGGAAUUGGGUAUUUG